CGUCUUUUCGCAGCCUCAAUUACACACUAUAUUGCGUGUUGCCGGUUUCGGCCGGCUAUGGCGAUACAGGAUAGUCGUAAUAAACCUAUCGGACCCGGGGGCGGUACCCGGCGCCUCCACCAAAACCCAGGGAUCAGAGCUGGGCUUUGGCGGGGGCGAAACAGGAUCGACGAGGGUGUAAAGGGCUGGUCUUCGCUCGGCAUGGUACCACCGUCAUCGGGCCAAACCUAUAGUUGCGAAUGACAACUAUGCUCCGGUUGCUCAGGCUGCGUAAGGCAGUUUGAAACACCGAAAUUAAGCCCUGACGGUUAGCCCCGUCAGGCGGGGUUCCGGGGCACCUGGCAACAGAAGCCCCACCU
rnacentral:tmRNA from 1 species